UACAGAGGGUGCGAGCGUUGUCCGGAAUCACUGGGCGUAAAGGGCGCGUAGGCGGCUUGAUAAGGUUGCGGUGAAAGCCCGGGGCUCAACCCCGGGUCGGCCGUGGCAACUGUCGAGCUGGAGCACUGUAGAGGCAGGUGGAAUUCCGGGUGUAGCGGUGGAAUGCGUAGAGAUCCGGAAGAACACCGGUGGCGAAGGCGGCCUGCUGGGCAGUUCUGACACUGAUGCGCGACAGCGUGGGGAGCAA
rnacentral:rRNA from 1 species